rnacentral:rRNA from 1 species
UCUUAGAUAUAAAUUAAUCUGUAUUUUACCAGAGUACUACGAACAUUAAGUUUAAAACUCAAAGAGCUUGGCGGUGCUUUAGACUCCUCAGGGGAACCUGUCCCAUAAUCGACAGUCCACGAAUCAACCUCACCUCCCCUUGCAAAUCAGUAUGUAUACCGUCGUCGUCAGGUAACUUUUCAAAAUAUAGAAGUUAGCAAUUAAAAAAUUAAUUUUCUACGUCAGAUCAAGGUGCAGCCCAUGGGAAGGAGUGGAUGGGUUACAAUUAACAUUUAUAAUCACGGAUUUAACUUUUAACAAGUUUAUGAAGGUGGACUUGAAAGUAAAGCCUAGCAACUAAAUGUCUUGAAUCAAGCUCUGAAGCG